rnacentral:rRNA from 1 species
AGUAAAUUGGUUAAGUUAGAAAGGGCGCACGGUGGAUGCCUUGGCACUAGGAGCCGAAGAAGGACGGGACUAACACCGAUAUGCUUUGGGGAGCUGUACGUAAGCGUUGAUCCAGAGAUUUCCGAAUGGGGGAACCCACUAUCUUUAGUCGGAUAGUAUCCUUACGUGAAUACAUAGCGUGAGGAAGGCAGACCCAGGGAACUGAAACAUCUAAGUACCUGGAGGAAGAGAAAGAAAAAUCGAUUUCCUGAGUAGCGGCGAGCGAAACGGAAAGAGCCCAAACCAAGAAGCUUGCUUCUUGGGGUUGUAGGACACUCUAUACGGAGUUACAAAAGAAAGUUAUAAAUGAAGCGGUCUGGAAAGGCCCGCCAAAGACGGUAACAGCCCGGUAGUUGAAAUGGCUUUCCCUCCAGAGUGGAUCCUGAGUACGGCGGAACACGUGAAAUUCCGUCGGAAUC